CAGCCGCCGCGGUAAUACCGGCGGCCCGAGUGGCGGUCACUAUUAUUGGGCUUAAAGCGUCCGUAGCCGGGUUGGGAAGUCCUCCGGGAAAUCUGGCCGCUUAACGGUCAGAAUGCCGGAGGAUACUCCCAGCCUAGGGAGCGGGAGAGGCCGAGGGGAUUCCCGGGGUAGGGGGGAAAUCCUAUAAUCCCCGGAGGACCACCUGUGGCGAAGGCGCUCGGCUGGAACGCGUCCGACGGUGAGGGACGAAGGCCAGGGGAGCAAACCGGAUUAGAUACCCGGGUAGUCCUGGCUGUAAACGAUGCGGACUUUGUGUCGGACAAGCUAUGAGCUUGUCCGGUGCCGGAGGGAAACCGUUAAGUCCGCCGCCUGGGGAGUACGGCCGCAAGGCUGAAACUUAAAGGAAUUGGCGGG
rnacentral:rRNA from 1 species